CCUAGAGAUAGGGCUUCUCCUUCGGGAGCAGAGUGACAGGUGGUGCAUGGUUGUCGUCAGCUCGUGUCGUGAGAUGUUGGGUUAAGUCCCGCAACGAGCGCAACCCUUGAUCUUAGUUGCCAUCAUUUAGUUGGGCACUCUAAGGUGACUGCCGGUGACAAACCGGAGGAAGGUGGGGAUGACGUCAAAUCAUCAUGCCCCUUAUGACCUGGGCUACACACGUGCUACAAUGGACGGUACAAAGAGCUGCAAGAC
rnacentral:rRNA from 1 species